UCUAUACGGUGAAACUGCGAAUGGCUCAUUAAAUCAGUUAUCGUUUAUUUGAUAGUACCUUACUACUUGGAUAACCGUGGUAAUUCUAGAGCUAAUACAUGCUAAAAACCUCGACUUCGGAAGGGGUGUAUUUAUUAGAUAAAAAACCAAUGCCCUUCGGGGCUCCUUGGUGAUUCAUAAUAACUUAACGAAUCGCAUGGCCUUGUGCCGGCGAUGGUUCAUUCAAAUUUCUGCCCUAUCAACUUUCGAUGGUAGGAUAGUGGCCUACCAUGGUUUCAACGGGUAACGGGGAAUUAGGGUUCUAUUCCGGAGAGGGAGCCUGAGAAACGGCUGCCACAUCCAAGGAAGGCAGCAGGCGCGCAAAUUACCCAAUCCCGACACGGGGAGGUAGUGACAAUAAAUACUGAUACAGGGCUCUUUUGGGUCUUGUAAUUGGAAUGAGUACAAUUUAAAUCCCUUAACGAGGAACAAUUGGAGGGCAAGUCUGGUGCCAGCAGCCGCGGUAAUUCCAGCUCCAAUAGCGUAUAUUAAAGUUGUUGCAGUUAAAAAGCUCGUAGUUGAACCUUGAGCCUGGCUGGCCGGUCCGCCUCACCGCGUGCACUGGUCCGGCCGGGUUUUUCCUUCUGGGGAGCCGCAUGCCCUUCACUGGGUGUGUCGGGGAACCAGGACUUUUACUUUGAAAAAAUUAGAGUGUUCAAAGCAGGCCUAUGCUCGAAUACAUUAGCAUGGAAUAAUAGAAUAGGACGUGUGGUUCUAUUUUGUUGGUUUCUAGGACCGCCGUAAUGAUUAAUAGGGAUAGUCGGGGGCAUCAGUAUUCAAUUGUCAGAGGUGAAAUUCUUGGAUUUAUUGAAGACUAACUACUGCGAAAGCAUUUGCCAAGGAUGUUUUCAUUAAUCAGUGAACGAAAGUUAGGGGAUCGAAGACGAUCAGAUACCGUCGUAGUCUUAACCAUAAACUAUGCCGACUAGGGAUCGGGCGAUGUUAUUUUUUUGACUCGCUCGGCACCUUACGAGAAAUCAAAG
rnacentral:rRNA from 1 species